rnacentral:rRNA from 1 species
AUUGAACGCUGGCGGCAGGCCUAACACAUGCAAGUCGAACGAGUGGCGGACGGGUGAGUUAUGUCUGGGAAACUGCAUGAUGGAGGGGGAUAACUACUGGAAACGGUAGAUAAUACCGCAUACCAUCAGAUGUGCCCAGAUGGGAUUAGCUUGUUGGUGGGGUAACGGCUCACCAAGGCGACGAUCCCUGGGUGGUCUGAGAGGAUGACCAGCCACACUGGAACUGAGACACGGUCCAGAGGCCUACGGGAGGCAGCAGUGGGGAAUAGUGCACAAGGGGCGCAAGCCUGAUGCAGCCAUGCCGCGUGUAUGAAGAAGGCCUUCGGGUUGUAAAGUACUUUCAGCGGGGAGGCGGUACCCGCAGAAGAAGCACCGGCUAACUCCGUGCCAGCCGCCGCGGUAAUAC